rnacentral:rRNA from 1 species
GUGGGGGAUAUUGCACAAUGGGGGAAACCCUGAUGCAGCGACGCCGCGUGAAGGAAGACGUACUUCGGUAUGUAAACUUCUAUCAGCAGGGAAGAAGAUGACGGUACCUGACUAAGAAGCCCCGGCUAACUACGUGCCAGCAGCCGCGGUAAUACGUAGGGGGCAAGCGUUAUCCGUAUUUACUGGGUGUAAAGGGAGCGUAGACGGUGAAGCAAGUCUGAUGUGAAAACCCGGGGCUCAACUCCGGGAUUGCAUUGGAAACUGUUUUACUUGAGUGCUGGAGGGGCAAGCGGAAUUCCUGGUGUAGCGGUGAAAUGCGUAGAUAUCAGGAAGAACACCGGUGGCGAAGGCGGCUUGCUUGACAGUAACUGACGUUGAGGCUCGAAAGCGUGGGGAGCAAACAGGAUUAGAAACCCGUGUAGUCC